rnacentral:rRNA from 1 species
GAUGAACGCUGGCGGCGUGCCUAAUACAUGCAAGUCGAGCGAACGGACGAGAAGCUUGCUUCUCUGAUGUUAGCGGCGGACGGGUGAGUAACACGUGGAUAACCUACCUAUAAGACUGGGAUAACUUCGGGAAACCGGAGCUAAUACCGGAUAAUAUUUUGAACCGCAUGGUUCAAAAGUGAAAGACGGUCUUGCUGUCACUUAUAGAUGGAUCCGCGCUGCAUUAGCUAGUUGGUAAGGUAACGGCUUACCAAGGCAACGAUGCAUAGCCGACCUGAGAGGGUGAUCGGCCACACUGGAACUGAGACACGGUCCAGACUCCUACGGGAGGCAGCAGUAGGGAAUCUUCCGCAAUGGGCGAAAGCCUGACGGAGCAACGCCGCGUGAGUGAUGAAGGUCUUCGGAUCGUAAAACUCUGUUAUUAGGGAAGAACAUAUGUGUAAGUAACUGUGCACAUCUUGACGGUACCUAAUCAGAAAGCCACGGCUAACUACGUGCCAGCAGCCGCGGUAAUACGUAGGUGGCAAGCGUUAUCCGGAAUUAUUGGGCGUAAAGCGCGCGUAGGCGGUUUUUUAAGUCUGAUGUGAAAGCCCACGGCUCAACCGUGGAGGGUCAUUGGAAACUGGAAAACUUGAGUGCAGAAGAGGAAAGUGGAAUUCCAUGUGUAGCGGUGAAAUGCGCAGAGAUAUGGAGGAACACCAGUGGCGAAGGCGACUUUCUGGUCUGUAACUGACGCUGAUGUGCGAAAGCGUGGGGAUCAAACAGGAUUAGAUACCCUGGUAGUCCACGCCGUAAACGAUGAGUGCUAAGUGUUAGGGGGUUUCCGCCCCUUAGUGCUGCAGCUAACGCAUUAAGCACUCCGCCUGGGGAGUACGACCGCAAGGUUGAAACUCAAAGGAAUUGACGGGGACCCGCACAAGCGGUGGAGCAUGUGGUUUAAUUCGAAGCAACGCGAAGAACCUUACCAAAUCUUGACAUCCUUUGACAACUCUAGAGAUAGAGCUUUCCCCUUCGGGGGACAAAGUGACAGGUGGUGCAUGGUUGUCGUCAGCUCGUAUCGUGAGAUGUUGGGUUAAGUCCCGCAACGAGCGCAACCCUUAAGCUUAGUUGCCAUCAUUAAGUUGGGCACUCUAAGUUGACUGCCGGUGACAAACCGGAGGAAGGUGGGGAUGACGUCAAAUCAUCAUGCCCCUUAUGAUUUGGGCUACACACGUGCUACAAUGGACAAUACAAAGGGCAGCGAAACCGCGAGGUCAAGCAAAUCCCAUAAAGUUGUUCUCAGUUCGGAUUGUAGUCUGCAACUCGACUACAUGAAGCUGGAAUCGCUAGUAAUCGUAGAUCAGCAUGCUACGGUGAAUACGUUCCCGGGUCU